GGUGGGAUACCCAAGCGGUCAACGGGGGCAGACUGUAAAUCUGCUGGCAUUACGCCUUCGGGGGUUCGAACCCCUCUCCCACCA
rnacentral:tRNA from 1 species